rnacentral:misc_RNA from 1 species
UCACCCCUCAAGCCCCCGGCUUGGUGUUGGACGGUCUGGUCCGGGGACCUCAAACCCCCUGGACCCCUCCCAAAGACAAUGACGGCGGGCUGUUGAACCCCCGGUACACUGAGCAUCUUCACGGAGCACGUACCGGUCUCAAGGGUCGACGGCACCCGGUCUAUACCUAUAUUUUUCAA